AUAAAGGUAGGAGAGAUGUUACUUUAAUGUGAUGUGUAAAAAAUAUAUAGGGUUUUCUAUUUUCUGGGGUUAGACCACAUGCUAUAGAUAAAUAAGAGUAAAAAUUAGACAAUCAAAUAAGAUGUUACUUAUUAUACUUAAACAUUAUAAUUAUAAAGCAUAUCAUAGGCUAUAUAAAGUUGGGGCAUACGGAGCCAUCUUAUAAGGAAGUGAUGUAUCUCUGAAGUAAGUAUAAGUAGUCAUUAGCUGUUUAUAUGAGAAUCUAUAAUUUGUUCAAGGCUGCUCCUUUAGCAGACAGUGGCACUGUGUACCGUGCAUUUCUGAGAAAUAAUGCCAGGAAAUGCACUGCAAAACAAUGGAACUUAGUAUAUAGGCAAUUUAAGAAAUACGACUUAACGAGGGUCCAAAGAUGGGAACAGCAAUCAUGUGUUAGUCGUAUGCAAUUCAUAUAUACAGGUAUUGCACUGUAGAAAUCUCUUAGGAUGGCAAUUUUGUUAUGUGGUCGUUGUGACCAAGAAUAGUGAUUGUCUCACCCAGUUAUGGAAACUAAAUUUGAAAGUAUAAUCAUGCUAUGCAUGAUUUGCUCUGUGCUGUGUGUGCAUUUAUUAUUGGGAUCGUUGUUUGUCCUUCUUCUGCCAGGAUGGGCACUGGGCACAAGAAGUUUGCUGUAAAGGAAAGG